rnacentral:rRNA from 1 species
AACGAACGCUGGCGGCAUGCCUAACACAUGCAAGUCGAACGAACCCUUCGGGGUGAGUGGCGCACGGGUGCGUAACACGUGGGAACCUGCCCUUAGGUUCGGAAUAACAGUUAGAAAUGACUGCUAAUACCGGAUAAUGUCUUCGGACCAAAGAUUUAUCGCCUUUGAAUGGGCCCGCGUAGGAUUAGCUAGUUGGUGAGGUAAAGGCUCACCAAGGCGACGAUCCUUAGCUGGUCUUAGAGGAUGAUCAGCCACACUGGGACUGAGACACGGCCCAGACUCCUACGGGAGGCAGCAGUGGGGAAUAUUGGACAAUGGGCGAAAGCCUGAUCCAGCAAUGCCGCGUGAGUGAUGAAGGCCUUAGGGUUGUAAAGCUCUUUUACCUGGGAUGAUAAUGACAGUACCAGGAGAAUAAGCCCCGGCUAACUCCGUGCCAGCAGCCGCCGUAA